rnacentral:rRNA from 1 species
AUUACCAUGAGCAAAUCAGAGUGUUUAAAGCAGGCUUUUAAGCUUGAAUGUGUUAGCAUGGAAUAAUGAAAUAUGACUUUAGUCCUAUUUUCGUUGGUUUAGGUACUAUAGUAAUGAUUAAUAGAAACGGUUGGGGGCAUUUGUAUUUGGCCGCUAGAGGUGAAAUUCUUGGAUUG